UCAGAAAAAACCCAUCUUUAGGACCACUUUUUUUGGGGGUCAUAACUAGUCCCAAAAAUUGUGUCUUUAUACUAUAUUCCAUUGCCACUGUUGUUUAGCUUUGUCCCCUUUUUAUUGUCAUUCAUUUUGGUUCAGAUCUGCUUGUGAUUGGGUUUGCUGAUUGAAGAUAAUUUGUUGGUGGGUUUUGAUUUUCACUCCAUUCUUUAGAAUCACCAUUGAAGGAAUGUCAACUGUGAAGAUGUGUUUGAUGGAGGUAACUUUAUGUUUAUGCUAGAAUUUCUAUGUGGGUAUUUUUCAAAUUAAUGAUUGUGGAAAGCUGUG
rnacentral:lncRNA from 1 species